rnacentral:rRNA from 1 species
UAUCCUGUCUGAAUAUGGGGGGACCAUCCUCCAAGGCUAAAUACUCCUGACUGACCGAUAGUGAACCAGUACCGUGAGGGAAAGGCGAAAAGAACCCCGGCGAGGGGAGUGAAAAAGAACCUGAAACCGUGUACGUACAAGCAGUGGGAGCACGCUUAGGCGUGUGACUGCGUACCUUUUGUAUAAUGGGUCAGCGACUUAUAUUCUGUAGCAAGGUUAACCGAAUAGGGGAGCCGAAGGGAAACCGAGUCUUAACUGGGCGUUAAGUUGCAGGGUAUAGACCCGAAACCCGGUGAUCUAGCCAUGGGCAGGUUGAAGGUUGGGUAACACUAACUGGAGGACCGAACCGACUAAUGUUGAAAAAUUAGCGGAUGACUUGUGGCUGGGGGUGAAAGGCCAAUCAAACCGGGAGAUAGCUGGUUCUCCCCGAAAGCUAUUUAGGUAGCGCCUCGUGAAUUCAUCUCCGGGGGUAGAGCACUGUUUCGGCAAGGGGGUCAUCCCGACUUACCAACCCGAUGCAAACUGCGAAUACCGGAGAAUGUUAUCACGGGAGACACACGGCGGGUGCUAACGUCCGUCGUGAAGAGGGAAACAACCCAGACCGCCAGCUAAGGUCCCAAAGUCAUGGUUAAGUGGGAAACGAUGUGGGAAGGCCCAGACAGCCAGGAUGUUGGCUUAGAAGCAGCCAUCAUUUAAAGAAAGCGUAAUAGCUCACUGGUCGAGUCGGCCUGCGCGGAAGAUGUAACGGGGCUAAACCAUGCACCGAAGCUGCGGCAGCGACGCUUAUGCGUUGUUGGGUAGGGGAGCGUUCUGUAAGCCUGUGAAGGUGUGCUGUGAGGUAUGCUGGAGGUAUCAGAAGUGCGAAUGCUGACAUAAGUAACGAUAAAGCGGGUGAAAAGCCCGCUCGCCGGAAGACCAAGGGUUCCUGUCCAACGUUAAUCGGGGCAGGGUGAGUCGACCCCUAAGGCGAGGCCGAAAGGCGUAGUCGAUGGGAAACAGGUUAAUAUUCCUGUACUUGGUGUUACUGCGAAGGGGGGACGGAGAAGGCUAUGUUGGCCGGGCGACGGUUGUCCCGGUUUAAGCGUGUAGGCUGGUUUUCCAGGCAAAUCCGGAAAAUCAAGGCCGAGGCGUGAUGACGAGGCACUACGGUGCUGAAGCAACAAAUGCCCUGCUUCCAGGAAAAGCCUCUAAGCAUCAGGUAACAUCAAAUCGUACCCCAAACCGACACAGGUGGUCAGGUAGAGAAUACCAAGGCGCUUGAGAGAACUCGGGUGAAGGAACUAGGCAAAAUGGUGCCGUAACUUCGGGAGAAGGCACGCUGAUACGUAGGUGAAGCGACUUGCUCGUGGAGCUGAAAUCAGUCGAAGAUACCAGCUGGCUGCAACUGUUUAUUAAAAACACAGCACUGUGCAAACACGAAAGUGGACGUAUACGGUGUGACGCCUGCCCGGUGCCGGAAGGUUAAUUGAUGGGGUUAGCGCAAGCGAAGCUCUUGAUCGAAGCCCCGGUAAACGGCGGCCGUAACUAUAACGGUCCUAAGGUAGCGAAAUUCCUUGUCGGGUAAGUUCCGACCUGCACGAAUGGCGUAAUGAUGGCCAGGCUGUCUCCACCCGAGACUCAGUGAAAUUGAACUCGCUGUGAAGAUGCAGUGUACCCGCGGCAAGACGGAAAGACCCCGUGAACCUUUACUAUAGCUUGACACUGAACAUUGAGCCUUGAUGUGUAGGAUAGGUGGGAGGCUUUGAAGUGUGGACGCCAGUCUGCAUGGAGCCGACCUUGAAAUACCACCCUUUAAUGUUUGAUGUUCUAACGUGGACCCGUGAUCCGGGUUGCGGACAGUGUCUGGUGGGUAGUUUGACUGGGGCGGUCUCCUCCUAAAGAGUAACGGAGGAGCACGAAGGUUGGCUAAUCCUGGUCGGACAUCAGGAGGUUAGUGCAAUGGCAUAAGCCAGCUUGACUGCGAGCGUGACGGCGCGAGCAGGUGCGAAAGCAGGUCAUAGUGAUCCGGUGGUUCUGAAUGGAAGGGCCAUCGCUCAACGGAUAAAAGGUACUCCGGGGAUAACAGGCUGAUACCGCCCAAGAGUUCAUAUCGACGGCGGUGUUUGGCACCUCGAUGUCGGCUCAUCACAUCCUGGGGCUGAAGUAGGUCCCAAGGGUAUGGCUGUUCGCCAUUUAAAGUGGUACGCGAGCUGGGUUUAGAACGUCGUGAGACAGUUCGGUCCCUAUCUGCCGUGGGCGCUGGAGAACUGAGGGGGGCUGCUCCUAGUACGAGAGGACCGGAGUGGACGCAUCACUGGUGUUCGGGUUGUCAUGCCAAUGGCACUGCCCGGUAGCUAAAUGCGGAAGAGAUAAGUGCUGAAAGCAUCUAAGCACGAAACUUGCCCCGAGAUGAGUUCUCCCUGACCCUUUAAGGGUCCUGAAGGAACGUUGAAGACGACGACGUUGAUAGGCCGGGUGUGUAAGCGCAGCGAUGCGUUGAGCUAACCGGUACUAAUGAACCGUGAGGCUUAACCUUACAACGCCGA